rnacentral:rRNA from 1 species
GUAGGGAAUAUUGGGCAAUGGUCGGAAGACUGACCCAGCCAUGCCGCGUGCAGGAAGACGGCCCUCUGGGUUGUAAACUGCUUUAUCUGGGAAGAAAAAGGCCAUGCGUGGCAAAUUGCCGGUACCAGAUGAAUAAGCACCGGCUAACUCCGUGCCAGCAGCCGCGGUAAUACGGAGGGUGCGAGCGUUGUCCGGAUUUAUUGGGUUUAAAGGGUGCGUAGGCGGCUGAUUAAGUCAGCGGUGAAAGACUUCGGCUUAACCGGAGCAGUGCCGUUGAUACUGGUUGGCUUGAGUGUCGGAGGGGUACAUGGAAUUGAUGGUGUAGCGGUGAAAUGCAUAGAUACCAUCAGGAACACCGAUAGCGAAGGCAUUGUACUGGCCGACAACUGACGCUGAUGCACGAAAGUGUGGGGAUCGAACAGGAUUAGAUACCCGUGUAGUCC